AAAACAACAGAAUAAAAGCAAAGAAGAAAUUAAAAGGAGGGCAGGUGGAAAGUUAAGCCAUCAGUCAAAUGAAAAGCAUGACAACAAAUACAACAUAUUUACUAUAAAAAUGUGCAAAAAAAAAUUAAGAUAUGUGUUGUUAUUGUAUGUUAAAAGGCUAUUGCUUAUUUAUAAUAGUAGUAGUAAGAGUAGUGGUAGUAACAGGAGUGGCAGUGCGAGCAGUGGUAAUAACACUGGGAGCAAUAACAGGGGUAGCAAUAACAGUGGUAGUAACAACAGGGGUAGUAACAACAGGGGUAGUAACAACAGGGGUAGUAACAACAGUGGUAGUAACACCGGUGACAGUAAUAGAGGUGACAGUAAUAGAUGUGACAAUCAGAACGCCGAACCUACCUCCAUAAAAGUUAAGCAAAGACAAAGUAUCAACAAGCUAUUAAAAUAUAUUUUAUUUAUAAUUAUACACAACAACAAAAACAGCAAUAAAAAAAACAAUAAUGAUAGUAAUAGUAAUAGAAAAAAAAAAAAAAAAAAAAAAUAUAUGAACAUUUGUUUACUUAUAUAUGACCAUUUUAAUUAUUAUGAUAAGGUUAUUAAUUUUUAUAAAAAAGUUAAAAAAAGAAAUGAGUUAUAUAUAUAUGUAUACAGUAAGAUAUACUAUUUUUUUAAAGAAAAAAAAUUAAAAUUAAAAAUAUACGGAUAUUUAUUUUAUAUACAUUUAUUUAAUAAUAUAUAUUUAUUUCAUAAAGAAUUCAUUAAUUAUAUUUUUAAUAACUACAUUUGUUUUCAUUUAAAAUUUAUAUUACUGUUUGAGCGAAAAAUGCUUAAAUCUAAAUCCCUAAGUGACAGCCAAUUUCGUUUGAAUUAUGAGAAGAGUGAAGUUCCUAAAAAUAAAGUUAAUAAGAACAUUCAUUUUUUGAUAAACAGUAGCACUCUUGUCGGUUUUUCAGCUAAUAAAGCGAAUGUCAUUUCGGAGGGAAAUAUUGAAAAUGAAGAGGUGGCUAAGAUAAAUAACAAAAUAUGUAAUAACAACCUUUGUGUAGUUAAUCGAUUGGAAGAAAAUGGAAACCUUGACAUUCCCAAUAACCAUAACAACGCUUGCCUGAAUAAGAACAAACUUAAACCGAGUAUUAAUUCCAAUUUGUACAACCACCUGACUGUAACAAAUGCGAACCUGAAUACGAACCUGAAUACGAACCUGAAUACGAACCUGAAUCCGAACCUGAAUCCGAACCUGAAUCCGAACCUGAAUACGAACCUGAAUCCGAACCUGAAUACGAACCUAAAUACGAACCUAAAUACGAACCUGAAUACGAACCUNNNNNNNNNNAAUACGAACCUAAAUACGAACCUAAAUACGAACCUAAAUACGAACCUAAAUACGAACCUAAAUACGAGUACAAAAAAAAUAAACUACGACAGGGUAAAAAACAUAACCAUGUAUUAUGUUAAAAAGAACACUAAGAAAUAUACACACCCAAAUGACGACACGUGUACAUACUACGAACAAAGUAAACUUAACUUAUGGAUCGUAUUCAUAAAUAGUUUAUUAAAAUAUAAUUUUCCAAAAAAACUAAAAUUAAAAAUAUAUUUUUUAUUAUUAUAUAAAAUACAUC
ensembl:lncRNA